rnacentral:rRNA from 1 species
CCUUACUAUAAGUGUUGUCUAGAGGCUUGGUGCCAGAAGACUCGGUAAGACCAAAAACGCAAACGUUAGUCAUCUUAAUCAGGCGUAAAGGGUAUGUAGGCAGCUUUAAAGUUUUAUUUUUAAUAAUUAGCAAAUUCUGUAAUUUAAACAGUAAAAAUAAAAUUAAUUAAAGCUAGAAUCAAAUAGGGGAAAAACCGAAUAAUACUUAGAGUAGGGAUGAUAUCCAUAGAUACUAAGGGGAAUA